rnacentral:pre_miRNA from 1 species
UGCUGCUGCUGUUGAUGCUGCUGCUGUUGCUGCUGCUGCUGCUGCUGGGGACGAUGUACAGCAGCAGCAGCAGCAGCAGCAGCAGCAGCAGCAGCA